rnacentral:rRNA from 1 species
AAUAGAUACCCGGGUAGUCCACGCCGUAAACGAUGAGUGCUAAGUGUUAGAGGGCUUCCACCCUUUAGUGCUGCAGCUAACGCAUUAAGCACUCCGCCUGGGGAGUACGGCCGCAAGGCUGAAACUCAAAGGAAUUGACGGGGGCCCGCACAAGCGGUGGAGCAUGUGGUUUAAUUCGAAGCAACGCGAAGAACCUUACCAGGUCUUGACAUCCUUCGCUACCUCUAGAGAUAGAGGGUUCCCCUUCGGGGGACGGAGUGACAGGUGGUGCAUGGUUGUCGUCAGCUCGUGUCGUGAGAUGUUGGGUUAAGUCCCGCAACGAGCGCAACCCUUGACCUUAGUUGCCAGCAUUCAGUUGGGCACUCUAAGGUGACUGCCGGUGACAAACCGGAGGAAGGUGGGGAUGGCGUCAAAUCAUCAUGCCCCUUAUGACCUGGGCUACACACGUGCUACAAUGGAUGGUACAAAGGGUCGCGAAACCGCGAGGUGGAGCCAAUCCCAAAAAACCAUUCUCAGUUCGGAUUGCAGG